rnacentral:rRNA from 1 species
AGUCUGCAACCCGACUACAUGAAGCUGGAAUCGCUAGUAAUCGCGGAUCAGAAUGCCGCGGUGAAUACGUUCCCGGGUCUUGUACACACCGCCCGUCACACCAUGGGAGUCGGAAAUGCCCGAAGUCUGUGACCCAACCGUAAGGAGGGAGCAGCCGAAGGCAGGUCUGAUAACUGGGGUGAAGUCGUAACAAGGUAGC